rnacentral:rRNA from 1 species
GGUCAAGCGAAUAAGCGCACACGGUGGAUGCCUUGGCGGUCAGAGGCGAUGAAGGACGUGGCAGCCUGCGAAAAGUAUCGGGGAGCUGGCAACAAGCUUUGAUCCGGUAAUGUCCGAAUGGGGAAACCCACCCGCUUGCGGGUAUCCUGCAGUGAAUACAUAGCUGCUGGAAGCGAACCUGGUGAACUGAAAUAUCUAAGUAACCAGAGGAAAAGAAAUCAACCGAGAUUCCGUAAGUAGCGACGAGCGAACGCGGACUAGCCCUUAAGCUGAUUUGGUUCUAGGAAAACGCUCUGGAAAGAGCGGCCAUAGAAGGUGAUAGCCCUGUAUCUGAAAGGGCCAUUUCAGUGAAGACGAGUAGGGCGGGGCACGUGAAACCCUGUCUGAACAUGGGGGGACCAUCCUCCAAGGCUAAAUACUACUGACCGACCGAUAGUGAACCAGUACCGUGAGGGAAAGGCGAAAAGAACCCCGGAGAGGGGAGUGAAAUAGAACCUGAAACCGUGUGCGUACAAGCAGUAGGAGCUCCGCAAGGAGUGACUGCGUACCUUUUGUAUAAUGGGUCAGCGACUUACUGUUCGUGGCAAGCUUAACCGUAUAGGGGAGGCGAAGGGAAACCGAGUCUGAUAAGGGCGCAUAGUCGCGGGCAGUAGACCCGAAACCGGGUGAUCUAGUCAUGCCCAGGGUGAAGGUGCGGUAACACGCACUGGAGGCCCGAACCCACUCCCGUUGCAAAGGUAGGGGAUGAGGUGUGAUUAGGAGUGAAAAGCUAAUCGAACCCGGAGAUAGCUGGUUCUCCUCGAAAGCUAUUUAGGUAGCGCCUCAUAUGUAUCCUCUCGGGGGUAGAGCACUGUUAUGGCUAGGGGGUCAUCGCGACUUACCAAACCAUUGCAAACUCCGAAUACCGAGACGGACUGUAUGGGAGACACACGGCGGGUGCUAACGUCCGUCGUGAAAAGGGAAACAACCCAGACCCACAGCUAAGGUCCCAAAUUCACUGCUAAGUGGAAAACCAUGUGGAAAGGCACAGACAGCCAGGAGGUUGGCUUAGAAGCAGCCACCCUUUAAAGAAAGCGUAAUAGCUCACUGGUCGAGUCGGUCUGCGGGGAAGAUUUAACGGGGCUAAGCAGUG